CAGUAGCCGCGGUAAUACGAGGGGAGCUAGCGUUGCUCGGAAUUACUGGGCGUAAAGCGCGCGUAGGCGGCUUCUUAAGUCAGAGGUGAAAGCCCGAGGCUCAACCCCGGAAUUGCCUUUGAAACUGGAAAGCUAGAAUCUUGGAGAGGUCAGUGGAAUUCCGAGUGUAGAGGUGAAAUUCGUAGAUAUUCGGAAGAACACCAGUGGCGAAGGCGACUGACUGGACAAGUAUUGACGCUGAGGUGCGAAAGCGUGGGGAGCAAACAGGAUUAGAUACCCCUGUAGUCCCUGUCUCUUAUAC
rnacentral:rRNA from 1 species